GACGAACGCUGGCGGCGUGCCUAAUACAUGCAAGUCGAACGCUGAAGCUUGGUGCUUGCACCGAGCGGAUGAGUUGCGAACGGGUGAGUAACGCGUAGGUAACCUGCCUGGUAGCGGGGGAUAACUAUUGGAAACGAUAGCUAAUACCGCAUAAGAGUAGAUGUUGCAUGACAUUUGCUUAAAAGGUGCAAUUGCAUCACUACCAGAUGGACCUGCGUUGUAUUAGCUAGUUGGUGAGGUAACGGCUCACCAAGGCAACGAUACAUAGCCGACCUGAGAGGGUGAUCGGCCACACUGGGACUGAGACACGGCCCAGACUCCUACGGGAGGCAGCAGUAGGGAAUCUUCGGCAAUGGACGGAAGUCUGACCGAGCAACGCCGCGUGAGUGAAGAAGGUUUUCGGGUCGUAAAGCUCUGUUGUAAGAGAAGAACGAGUGUGAGAGUGGAAAGUUCACACUGUGACGGUAACUGACCAGAAAGGGACGGCUAACUACGUG
rnacentral:rRNA from 1 species